rnacentral:tRNA from 1 species
UGUCCUGUGGUGUAAUUGGUAACACGUCUGACUCUGGAUCAGAAGAGUCCAGGUUCGAGCCCUGGCAGGACAACCA